rnacentral:rRNA from 1 species
CAGCCGCCGCGGGAAUACGUAGGGGGCGAGCGUUGUCCGAAGUUACUGGGCGUAAAGCGCGCGUAGGCUGUCUCUUAAGUUUGGGGUGAAAGGUUCACGGCUCAACCGGAACAGUGCCUUGAAUACUGGGAGACUUGAGUUUGGCAGAGGAUAGUGGAAUUCCUGGUGUAGCGGUGAAAUGCGUAGAUACCAGGAGGAACACCCAUGGCGAAGGCAGCUAUCUGGGCUAAAACUGACGCUGAGGUGCGAAAGCGUGGGGAGCGAACGGGAUUAGAUACCCCCGUAGUCCCUGUCUCUUAUU